GACCUCGUGGCGCGCAACGGUAGCGCGUCUGACUCUCAGAUCAGAAGGUUGCGUGUUCAAAUCACGUCGGGGUCA